rnacentral:lncRNA from 1 species
UGACAGUCUCUGAGCGUGACCAGGACCCCGAACUGGUGAGGACGAGGGAGGAGUUACUCCAGCGGGGACUUGUCAGCCCGGGAGGCCAAUAAGGAAAAGCACUCAGCUGCGCAGGCUUCCUGCCGCGCCAGGGACUGUCUCCGGCCCGGCCGAUGGAGAGACGGUCAUCUAUCUUUUGUUUUUCAAAAUUAACAAAAUAGGUCUGAAUUAUUUGCCCGGAAGAGUGUGAAACAUUCACUCCUGGCCUCUCUUUCACUUGCUUUAUUCUUGUUUGAACGAAGGGGAAAAUGCCGUGGGUCGAACAGGCAUCGACGAAGACAGCCAUGCCCGUCAGGCCCCCGACCCCACGUCGCCAUAAAUAGCCGGGACUCCGCCAUUAUAGUUCUCUUUGUGCAUGCACCUGCCUCUGGAGAAUGUCUGCGUGCUGUGUUGCGCCGGGGGGCUGCUGUGGCGCCAUCCCCUACGCCAGGGGGAGGCGGCGGCCCCGGCGACCUGCGCUGUCUCUCCCAAGCUUCCUUCGUGUAGGUAUCUCGGGUUCCUGUUGGGUGAGGGGACCGCAGUCUCGGGCUGAGCAGGAUGAACUGCCAUUACAGACUAGAGUUUCUGAUGUGUACGUGACGCCAUCGUUUGGAACUGACCCAGCCCAGGGCAGGGGGGUACUCGGCUGGGGUCGCCCCUGGCCCCUGCUGACUCAUGGGUUUCUUCCCAGGGCCCUGGUCUUCGUAGGCUGGUUCGCAGCGCCACGAGGGUGAGUGGAUUGUGCGAGAUGGAAUGGCUGGCGGUGGCCUUGGGAAAGACGGGGGUGAUGAUGAACCCAGGUGAUUCUGAGUGUCUCGCUGACGCCGUCACCGCAGCGCGCUGACCAUCUCCCUCCCCCGGGCUGGGUCUUCCUGGUACCUGUGCUGGGGAGAAGCUCGUGGCCAGAAAACACAAGUGUGGCCUAUCCCUGUGUUUCAUUUUUCCACUAGGUGUUUUAAGGUGCUCGCCGUGUGUUACCCUUGAAUAAAGGUGAGUAUUAGGUGUGAGAUUCUUCUCCGUGCUUCUCAGACUGUUUUGAUCCCAGAACACUCUUUUCAUGGGGUCAUUGUGAAGUCUUUUUUUUUUUUUUUAACGUUUAUUUCUGAGAGAGGGAGACAGCAUGAAGGGGUGCAGAAUCUGAUUGAUGGCCAGCUCGAACCCAUGAGCUGUGAGAUCACGACCAGAGCCGAAGUCCCGCUCUUAACCGACUGAGCCACCCAGGCAUCCCAAUGUUUUAUUAAUUUUUAAGAGAGCGCGAGUGUGAUGGCAAAGGGAGGGGGAGACCCAGAAUCUGAAACAAGCUCCUGGCUCUAGCACAGAAUCUGAUGUGGGGCUUGAGCCCACGAACCCUGAGAUCGUGACCUGAGCCAAAGUCUGAUUUGCCACCCAGAUGCCCCUCUUGAACUUUUUAAAAAAAAAUUUUGGUAACUUUUUAUACAUUUGCCUAAUUGUGGUUAAACCUGCCUCCUUACUGUACAUUCUGUAUUCCCCAGUGGAGGUUUUUUGGUUCUGUGUGUGUGCACACGUACAAUUUUGGAUUUUUUUUCACUGUAAUUUAACUUUUGCGCUUGCCAUGUCUGCACUCUUCUUUUGCUGCAUCCUUAUUUAUAUUGGGUGAAAGACCAUUGUCUUUCAGUGUAUUACAUCGCUUCUCAGAAUCGCCUGCCUUCAUCCAGGUCUCCCUAAAUUGGGAAUGAUGAUUGCCUCAGACUAGAGUCUCUGAUGCUGGGCUUGAUGUCAAAAAUUAAGUUCUGACUCAUUUGGAGAACUGGAGGCUUGGGUCUGAGAAGGGGCCAACAGGAGGGCCUUUAAAUUUGCUUGUGCUUCUCAAUGUUUGUCUUUUUUACUUUUCUAGCCUGAUUAUUCUAGAAGCCUACUUGGGGCAGUGCCCUUUUACAGAUCAGUGUCUAAUCUGGUGACUGAAUGGCUGAAGUUGGGAACUUAGCCUCUUGGAGAAGUGCUGUUGAGACUUCUGGGUCGCCUAGAUAGUGGCUCCUGCCACUUAAAUCUUUGGGCUGCAAUGAGGAGUGAAGAGCCAUGUCCUUUCUCCCUGGCUCCUAUGGUGAGUACCAGUUUCUCUUCAGCCCCAGAAUGGUAAUGGUAACUUUCUUGGACCAUUAACAUUUCUCUGAGGAUAUUUGAAACCACGAAUCACUCCUGCUUUCUCUACCCACCCAAGUUCAUGUUUUAAUUCCAGUUGUGUGCGUGUUUCUAAUAGAUGUUCUUUUAUGAAUUUCAGGAUUUUGCUAACGAGAGGAUGUGUCUUAUUUGGUGUUGAGCAAAUCCUAGGAACUUCAUCUAGCUAUCCUGCAUUAACCUGUGAGCAGCUUUGAACUUGAGAAAAAUAACUGCAUAGAAAUUUUGAGAUAUUUAAAGAUCAUUCAGACCACUUUGCUUCAUUGUAAUCAAAUACUUGGUCUUGUCAAAAGGAUUCUAAUAAAAUGCUUUAGAGCAAAGUAAAAGUUUGGUUUUUGUAUAAGCAAAGUCAUACAAAAAGAUUCAGGGAAGUGAAAGGUAACUGAAUGAGCAUCACAGUUGACAUCUAGCUAUGUCUCUUCGCAGCUAUAUACAAGAUAAAAAACUAGGUUGAUGCUAACAUUAAGCAUUUCUAGGUGGUCUGCCAUAGGAUUCUAAUGGGUUAGAUGUACUUAACAAGUAGUGAAGAUUUUUAGGAUGUCGAAAUGUUAACACAGGCACUUAGCUUGCGUUCAGCUCAGGUCAUGAUCACCGGUUUGUGAGUUUGAGCCCUUCGUCUGGCUUUUUGCUGCGCACCUGGAGCCUGCUUCAGAUUCUGUGUCUCUCUCCCCUCCCCCCCACUUUGUCUCUUUCAAGAAUAAGUAUUAAAGUUAAAAACAACAAAACAUGGUCACCACUGUGGCUCAAUGGGUUUAGCGCCUGACUUUGUCUUGCGUUAUGAUCUCAUAGUUCGUGGGUUCAGGCUCACUGGUGUCAGCAUGGUGCCCACUUUGGAUCCUCUGGACCCUUCUCUUUGUCCCUCCCCUGCUUGCACUGUCUCCAAAAUAAAUAUUUAAAAAAAAAAAAACCCAUGCCUGUGCUAGUUGCCAGGGGCUGGGGAAAGGGGUAAAUGGAGUUUAAUGGAUAUAGAAUUUCAGUUUACAAGAUAAAGAAUUCUGGAGAUAGAUGGUGGUGUUGGUUGCUUAGUAUUACUGAAAUGUGUGCUUAAAAAUGGUUAAGAUGGUAAGUUUUAUGUGUAGCCAACCACAGUAAAAAUUAGGGAAAAAAGAUCCAUACUUGGACUAUUUCAAAGAUGGUUUCCUACCCACCAGCGUGUACAAAUUUGUGUUGUUUUAAGAUUAUAUUAUAAAUUACCCAGUUUCUAGGAGGAGGUCAUUUAGGUUUUUAGUCAUGCUAUAUACCCUGUUGUUUGUACCCAUUUGAAGUUGUGUUGUAGAAUAAUACAUUUCAAAAGUAAAAUUUGAAAGGGUUUAAUAAGCAAAACAACGCAUGGUAUAUUUCAUACUAGUUUAUGCUCGUGGCCUCAGUGUCCAUAAGAUUGCCUGUCUACCCUAUACCUAUCAUCACUACUCCCAGUUGUAACAGUUUUAGCAUGGGUUUGGUUCUAUCAACUCACUUUGUUUUGUUUUUUUAAUUUUGAGAGAGUGAGUAAGGGAGGGGCAUCUCUUUCUUGUUUAAUGUUUAUUUUUGAGAGAGAACGGGAGCAGGUGAGGGACAGAGAGAGGGAGACAGAAUCUGAAGCAGGCUCCAGGUUCUAAGCAGUCAGCACAGAGCCCCAUGUGGGGCUCAAAUGCAAACUGCGAGAUCAUGACCUGUACCAAAGUCGGACACUUAACCAACUGAGCCACCUAGGAGUCCCCAACUCCUCUUUAAAACAUUUGCUACUGGGGCGCCUGGGUAGCUCAGUCGGUUAAGCGUCUGACCAGCUCAGGUCACGAUCUCGCGGUCCGUGAGUUGGAGCCCCGCGUCAGGCUCUGGGCUGAUGGCUCAGA